rnacentral:rRNA from 1 species
UACAGAGGGGGCAAGCGUUGUUCGGAAUUACUGGGCGUAAAGGGCGCGUAGGCGGCCCGCUAAGUCGAACGUGAAAUCCCCGAGCUCAACUCGGGAACUGCGUCCGAUACUGGUGGGCUUGAAUCCGGGAGAGGGAUGCGGAAUUCCAGGUGUAGCGGUGAAAUGCGUAGAUAUCAGGAGGAACACCGGUGGCGAAGGCGGAUCUCUGGGCCAUUACUGACGCUGAGGAGCGAAAGCGUGGGGAGCGAACAGG